GAUGAACGCUGGCGGCGUGCCUAAUACAUGCAAGUCGAACGCUUCACUUCGGUGAAGAGUGGCGAACGGGUGAGUAAUACAUAAGUAACCUGGCAUCUACAGGGGGAUAACUGAUGGAAACGUCAGCUAAGACCGCAUAGGUGUAGAGAUCGCAUGAACUCUAUAUGAAAAGUGCUACGGGACUGGUAGAUGAUGGACUUAUGGCGCAUUAGCUUGUUGGUAGGGUAACGGCCUACCAAGGCGACGAUGCGUAGCCGACCUGAGAGGGUGACCGGCCACACUGGGACUGAGACACGGCCCAGACUCCUACGGGAGGCAGCAGUAGGGAAUUUUCGGCAAUGGGGGAAACCCUGACCGAGCAACGCCGCGUGAAGGAAGAAGUAAUUCGUUAUGUAAACUUCUGUCAUAGAGGAAGAACGGUGGAUAUAGGGAAUGAUAUCCAAGUGACGGUAC
rnacentral:rRNA from 1 species